rnacentral:rRNA from 1 species
GUUGUCCUGGGGUAAGCAUUAGGGCGGAACGUAGGUAAAUCCGCGUUCUAUUCAGCCUGAGAUGUGAUGCCGAGCCGAUUGUGGUGAAGUGGAUGAUCCUAUGCUGCCGAGAAAAGCCUCUAGUGAGUGUUGGCGGCCCGUACCCUAAACCGACUCAGGUGGUCAGGUAGAGAAUACCAAGGCGAUCGGGUGAACUGUGGUUAAGGAACUCGGCAAAUUGCCCCCGUAACUUCGGGAGAAGGGGGACCUCUGCUGGUGAUGGGCUUUACGUUCUGAGCUGGUGGGGGUCGCAGUGGCCAGGGGGAAGCGACUGUUUACUAAAAACACAGGUCCGUGCGAAGUCGUAAGACGAUGUAUACGGACUGACGCCUGCCCGGUGCCGGAACGUUAAGGGGACCGCUUAGCCAACGCGAGUUGGCGAAGGUGAGAACUUAAGCGCCGGUAAACGGCGGUGGUAACUAUAACCAUCCUAAGGUAGCGAAAUUCCUUGUCGGGUAAGUUCCGACCUGCACGAAUGGCGUAACGACUUCCCCGCUGUCUCAACCACAGACCCGGCGAAAUUGCACUACGAGUAAAGAUGCUCGUUUCGCGCAGCAGGACGGAAAGACCCCGGGACCUUCACUACAGCUUGACAUUGGCGUUUGGAACGUCUUGUGUAGGAUAGGUGGGAGACUGGGAAGCUGUCACGCUAGUGAUGGUGGAGUCAUUGGUGAAAUACCACUCUGGUCGUUUUGAACGUCUAACUCUGGUCCGUGAUCCGGAUCGGGGACAGUGUCUGGUGGGUAGUUUAACUGGGGCGGUUGCCUCCUAAAGAGUAACGGAGGCGCCCAAAGGUUCCCUCAGCCUGGUUGGCAAUCAGGUGUUGAGUGUAAGUGCACAAGGGAGCUUGACUGUGAGACUGACAGGUCGAGCAGGUGCGAAAGCUGGGACUAGUGAUCCGGCAUCGGCGUGUGGAAGCGGUGUCGCUCAACGGCUAAAAGGUACCCCGGGGAUAACAGGCUGAUCUUCCCCAAGAGUCCAUAUCGACGGGAUGGUUUGGCACCUCGAUGUCGGCUCGUCGCAUCCUGGGGCUGGAGUAGGUCCCAAGGGUUGGGCUGUUCGCCCAUUAAAGCGGUACGCGAGCUGGGUUUAGAACGUCGCGAGACAGUUCGGUCCCUAUCCGCUGCGCGCGCAGGAGACUUGAAGGGGGCUGUCCCUAGUACGAGAGGACCGGGACGGACGAACCUCUGGUGUGCCAGUUGUACCGCCAGGUGCACGGCUGGUUGGCUACGUUCGGAAGGGAUAACCGCUGAAAGCAUCUAAGCGGGAAGCUCGCCUUGAGAUGAGGUCUCCCACCCCGUGAGGGGGUAAGGCUCCCGGUAGAUCACCGGGUUGAUAGGCCGGAGGUGGAAGCACGGUAACGUGUGGAGCUGACCGGUACUAAUAGGCCGAGGACUUG